UGGGGAAUCUUGGACAAUGGGGGAAACCCUGACCCAGCAACGCCGCGUGAAGGAUGAAGUAUUUCGGUAUGUAAACUUCGAAAGAAUAGGAAGAAUAAAAUGACGGUACUAUUUUUAAGGUCCGGCUAACUACGUGCCAGCAGCCGCGGUAAUACGUAGGGACCAAGCGUUGUUCGGAUUUACUGGGCGUAAAGGGCGCGUAGGCGGCGUAAUAAGUCAUUUGUGAAAUCUCCGGGCUUAACUCGGAGCGGCCAAGUGAUACUGUUAGGCUAGAGUGCAGAAAGGGCAAUCGGAAUUCUUGGUGUAGCGGUGAAAUGCGUAGAUAUCAAGAGGAACACCUGAGGCGAAGGCGGGUUGCUAGGCUGACACUGACGCUGAGGCGCGAAAGCUAGGGUAGCAAACGGGAUUAGAUACCCGCGUAGUCCCUGAGCGGGCUGGCAAGGCGCAU
rnacentral:rRNA from 1 species